rnacentral:lncRNA from 1 species
GGCCACACUGAAGACGUCCACUGUGCGCUUGGUCCUUGCUUGCUGUAGCAGCUGUUCCAUAGCCAAGAAGGUGCCCAGCUGGGCCAACUGCUCCUGGGAAUGAUGACCUGAGAGAAGAUGAUGAGGAUGAGGUUGGGGGGGGGGUGUGUCUCACAGUUGGCAUUUGCUCCACCCCAAUCAACGUCGUAUACAGUGAGACUCACAGGAGGCAAUGCUGUUCUGAUUAUAGUCAGGAGGGGGCAGCAGAGAACCAGUCUCAUCCUUGAUGGCCUGCUUCAGGAGCUGGGAAAGAGAUGGACAUGCUGACUCUCAGAAUCCCUUACCAACUCCCAACUUACCCACCUGCCCCAAGAUGGGGGAGGAGGACACUCCUGCGAGGAGGACAUAUGCCACCUGGUGGUGAUUCUGGGAAGCUGCAGGGCACUCACCCGUCCGUUCUCCAUGCCCACAGUUAGCAUGAUGAUCACGUGGACUUGCUGCUCCCACACUAGCCGCCAGAAGUCCUCUAGUGUCUUUUUGAGAGGCCCCUGGGUGGCAAUAAUCUCCUGUGGGUGGCUAUAGCCCUAAGGUUUGGGUGCAGGGGAGGGGCAUGUUACCAGACAGUGUCUUGGCCAGCCGGGCCCACCAAACAUUCAGCAGUGGUUAUGAUCAUCUAUGACCUACAGGAACUGUGGUGCUGGAGGGUGACCUGAAGGACACUGCCACCACCCACGUCUCACUCAGAAAGGGUGAGAAAAACAUGCAUGGGAAUGCAAGAUCCUGACAUGCUAGACACAGUCUACCCAGCCGCCUCCCCACUAACCCUGGGGUAACUUUGUUUUCUAGAGACAGUAAUUUACGAUGUACCCCAGGCUGUCCUCAAACUCCCAAUUCUCCUGACUCAGUUUCCCAUAAGCUGGAAUUACAGGUGUCUGCCAUC